GGGUCAGGAGGUUGGUCGUGCCACCGGUACGUACUGGUCUCACUGAUUCCUCCUUCCUGAAGAACCGUAAUGCCAUUAAUUUGGUGUUGCGGGGAAACAGGACUGUUACUUUGAAAAAAUUAGAGUGUUUAACGCAAGCUAACGCUUGAAUACAUUAGCAUGGAAUAAUGAAAUAGGACGAUCGAUCCUAUUUUGUUGGUUUCUAGGAUUGACGUA
rnacentral:rRNA from 1 species